UACGAAGGGGGCUAGCGUUGCUCGGAAUCACUGGGCGUAAAGCGCACGUAGGCGGAUUGCUAAGUCAGGGGUGAAAUCCUGGAGCUCAACUCCAGAACUGCCUUUGAUACUGGCGACCUUGAGUCCGGGAGAGGUGAGUGGAACUGCAAGUGUAGAGGUGAAAUUCGUAGAUAUUCGCAAGAACACCAGUGGCGAAGGCGGCUCACUGGCCCGGUACUGACGCUGAGGUGCGAAAGCGUGGGGAGCAAACAGG
rnacentral:rRNA from 1 species